UACGGAGGGUGCAAGCGUUAUCCGGAUUCACUGGGUUUAAAGGGUGCGUAGGAGGGCAGGUAAGUCAGUGGUGAAAUCUUCGAGCUUAACUCGGAAACUGCCGUUGAUACUAUCUGUCUUGAAUACCGUGGAGAUGAACGGAAUAUGUCAUGUAGCGGUGAAAUGCUUAGAUAUGACAUAGAACACCAAUUGCGAAGGCAGCUCGUUACACGAAUAUUGACUCUGAGGCACGAAAGCGUGGGGAUCAAACAGG
rnacentral:rRNA from 1 species